AUGAAAGGCAAACGGAACAACAAUUUUUAUUUUCCUGGUACAGGGAAUCUCCAGGCACGACAAAUGUUAGACGGGUCUAGCGCCGAUAAAUCUGAGGAGAUUAGUAUGGAUAGUCUGAACACACGUAUUAAAAAAGCGAAAGAAAGUGGCACUAAGGAGAAUGAUGGGAAUGCGAAAGAAAGUGGCACUAAGGAGAAUGAUGGGAAUGCGAAAGAAAGUGGCACUAAGGAGAAUGAUGGGAAACGCAAGAGAAAAAAGUCAAAGUACGUUCUUUCACCCUUCCAGCAGAUCGGUGGACGUAAACGUCCAAAGAAAAGUUUGUUUGGUAUAAGAGACGUUCUGAUUAAUACCGAUUACAUUACUGAGGAUCACAUAGAGGCCGCGAAGGUUUAUAUCAAGACACUAUCAGACUCGGCGAAGCUUAGUAGGAAAACUGUCGUGCACAUGACAGGAAUUGCUGGGGAAACAUGUACACCUGAUAUGCUUCAAGCCAUCAUUGCGAAAAAAUGGUUGCAUGGUGCUGUCAUCAAUAGUUAUUGCAACCAUAUGCAGACCCAUAAUCCUCGUCCUGACCGUCACAUUUUAUCAUCUUGGGUGUCACACUGGCUUAUUCUUCGUGCUGAAGGAAAGGUUAAGAACUCUAAGCACCAUUUUAUGGAGCAUUUCACAAACCAAACUAAAAUGGUGUCUAGAGUUAAUGAGGAGUAUUUCAUUAGAGAUAAGGCAUACUUUCCUUUUCAUGUGGAAGAAAAACACUGGAUAACAUUUCUCAUGCACAACAAGAAAAAAGAGUUUCAAGUUUUAAAUUCUACUGGUAAAUGCAGCAAGGCAGUUCUUAAAAAAAUAAGGCAGCUGAGGGCAGAAAUAGCUAAAGAUACGUUGGAGGUGAACUCCCUUGUACAACUGGAACAUCCAGACGUAUCUUCGUGGCCAAUAAAUGAGUACGAUAUGCCGUUACAAAAGGAUGGAGUUUCUUGUGGUCUGUUUGUGGUGAAAUGCAUUCAAAACUGGAACGGAGAUGAAUGGAUAUUUGACUUUGAUCAACCUGAGGUCAAUGCUUCAAGGGGACGCAUUCUAGCUGAAAUACUUUUUUCAGAGUGCAACACGAUGGAAACUGUGAAAGAGAAGAUUUUGAAGAUCAUGGACAAGAAUUAG
rnacentral:rRNA from 1 species